GCAGGGGUAGCCAAGCCUGGUCAAAGGCGCAGGCUUCAGGAGCCUGUCCCGUAGGGGUUCAAGGGUUCAAAUCCCUUCCCCUGCA
rnacentral:tRNA from 2 species